CCCGGCCGCCGGCUUCCUUUUGCUCUUUCCGGGCGGCGAUGAGCGCGCAGGACCCGCGCGGAGGCUGCGGGCGCACAGGAGCCCGCGCUCCUAGCCACCUCUCAGGCCUCGGGAAGGAAGCCGGAGUGAGAUUGCGUUCUGCCCCGGACCGCCCAGGAAACCUCUGGAUUUGCCUGUCUGGACUUUGGAGGGUGAAUGGAACCACGGACUCAGUGCCUUCUGCAUGUGGCCACUGUGCUGAGCAUAAGGCAUGUGGAGAGUGCAGUCUUACUUGAGGGGUCAGAGGAAGCCAAGGAAAGGUGACUUAGCAGAGAAACGAGGGCACUGGCCCCCUGGGAGCACAAGAAGGAACAGCAGCACGGGAACAGCAGAUCCCAAGCUCUCCAGCCCUCUGGACUCUGCAGCAGACUGAAAAGAAUCUCCUGUUCUUUCUUGCCAACUGCUAAGCCCUUUAAAGGGGCAUGGUCUAGCCACUCACUGCACCGCCCCAGCCCGGAGCCUCUGACCCUCGCCGUGUCUGGUUCUCCGCCGGCAGCAGGUAGGUGGACUUCGGCGAUGGGCCUGCCAGCCGGGGAGGAGCGGAGGGGUGGCUUCCGCCCCAUGGUGGGUCUUUGGUCCAGCUCUGCAGAAAGAGCAGGGGACGCUACGGUGAGCACCAGGCUACCCAGCACGCCUGGGGCACAGGUCGGGAAACUGAGGCUUGGAGCUGGCCCUGGAUGGGUCGGUUCUGGGUCUUUCUGGGUGGAUUGUGCGAUUCGUGGAGCCUCUGCCUGGGGACCUGUUAGCGUCACACUACCUUAGUUUCAGUGGUGGUGGGCGGAGGGGCACAGGCAGGGGCAAGUGCCAGGCUCCUGCUGCAGGCCCAGCUGCUUUCCUGCAGGGCGCCUCUGCGACCGCAGCCAGGAUGUCCAGGGACACAGUGCACCCCGCCAAGCUGUCCCUUGCUUUCCUGC
rnacentral:lncRNA from 1 species